rnacentral:rRNA from 1 species
UACGGAGGGUGCAAGCGUUAAUCGGAAUUACUGGGCGUAAAGCGCACGUAGGCGGUUUACUAAGCCAGCUGUGAAAUCCCCGGGCUCAACCUGGGCACUGCAGUUGGAACUGGUAAGCUAGAGUAGGGUAGAGGGGUGUGGAAUUCCAGGUGUAGCGGUGAAAUGCGUAGAUAUCUGGAGGAACAUCAGUGGCGAAGGCGACACCCUGGAUUCAUACUGACACUGAGGUGCGAAAGCGUGGGGAGCAAACAGG